rnacentral:rRNA from 1 species
CGGUGGAGCAUGUGGUUUAAUUCGACGCAAACGCGCAGAACCUUACCUGGGCUUGACAUCCCGAUCGCAUCCCAUGGAAACAUGGGAGUCAGUUCGGCUGGAUCGGUGACAGGUGCUGCAUGGCUGUCGUCAGCUCGUGUCGUGAGAUGUUGGGUUAAGUCCCGCAACGAGCGCAACCCUUGUCCUUAGUUGCCAGCAUUCAGUUGGGCACUCUAAGGGAGACUGCCGGUGUUAAACCGGAGGAAGGUGGGAUGACGUCAAGUCCUCAUGGCCCUUAUGUCUAGGGCUACACACGUACUACAAUGGCCGGUACAAAGGGCAGCCACUCAGCGAUGAGGCGCUAAUCCCAUAAAGCCGGUCUCAGUCCGGAUCGCAGUCUGCAACUCGACUGCGUGAAGUUGGAAUCGCUAGUAAUCGUAGAUCAGCAUGCUACGGUCGAAUACGUUCCCGGGCCUU